rnacentral:rRNA from 1 species
AAAGCUCAAAUUUAAAAUCUGGCAGUUUCACUGUCCGAGUUGUAAUUUAGAGAAGUGUUACCCGCGUUGGACCGUGUAUAAGUCUCCUGGAACGGAGCGUCAUAGAGGGUGAGAAUCCCGUCUUUGACACGGACUACCAAGGCAUUGUGGUGCGCUCUCGAAGAGUCGUGUUGUUUGGGAAUGCAGCACUAAAUGGGUGGUAAAUUCCAUCUAAAGCUAAAUAUUGGCGAGAGACCGAUAGCGAACAAGUACCGUGAGGGAAAGAUGAAAAGAACUUUGGAAAGAGAGUUAAACAGUACGUGAAAUUGCUGAAAGGGAAACGCUUGAAGUCAGUCGCGUUGUCCGGGGAUCAGCCUUGCUUUUGUGAGGUGUACUUCCUGGUCGACGGGUCAGCAUCAGUUUCGACCAUUGGAAAAAGACUUGGGGAAUGUGGCACCUUCGGGUGUGUUAUAGCCUCUUGUUGUAUACAGUGGUUGGGACUGAGGAACUCAGCACGCCGCAAGGCCGGGUUUCGACCACGUUCGUGCUUAGGAUGCUGGCAAAAUGGCUUUAAUCGACCCGUCUUGAAACACGGACCAAGGAGUCUAACAUGCUUGCGAGUGUUUGGGUGGAAAACCCGAGCGCGUAAUGAAAGUGAAAGUUGGGAUCUCUGUCGUGGAGAGCACCGACGCCCGGACCUGAUGUUUACUGACGGAUCUGCGGUAGAGCACGUAUGUUGGGACCCGAAAGAUGGUGAACUAUGCCUGAAUAGGSCGRAGCCAGAGGAAACUCUGGUGGAGGCUCGUAGCGAUUCUGACGU